UACGAAGGGGACUAGCGUUGUUCGGAAUUACUGGGCGUAAAGCGCACGCAGGCGGUUCGCCAAGUUUGGAGUGACAGUUGUCGGCUCAACCGACAAAGGACUUCAAAAACUGGUGAACUUGAGGACGAGAGAGGAACAUGGAACUCCAGGUGUAGUAGUGAAAUGCGUAGAUAUCUGGAAGAACACCAAUGGCGAAGGCAAUGUUCUGGCUCGUUUCUGACGCUCAGGUGCGAAAGCCAGGGGAGCGAACGGG
rnacentral:rRNA from 1 species